GACUCGCUUCCCGGAAUGUUCGGAAUAGCUUCCAGAUGUUCGAGCGGGGGUGCGCUUUAUGGUUCGCUGGGGUAGGCUCACUGUGGGGCUUGCCGAUGUGACGUGUGUUUUUUUUUUAUAUGUAUUUUGUUGUUGCCGCUGCAGAGAAACAAUUAUUUUUUGGGCAAGGAAGAGUGGUGUCUGCCGCUGGAAUUUGGGAAAGUGAGGACCUCGGCUUGAUUCCGAGCCGAGUGGCUGAGUCAAGGCAGUGUGUGCGAAGACUUGGCCGGAGGGUGAACGCAACGCGAAGUCUGGGCGUCCCGCCCAGACUUCGCGUUGCGUUCACCCUCCGGCAGUAGCGACGGAAGGCUGAGCGCGGGAGGAGUUUGGGCUCCCUGGUCCAAGCGCUGCUUUAGGCGCCCAAGUGUGUGUGCGUUCAUGGGUGAGUGAGUGCCUGUGCCGAGGAGCCACGCCGACAGCACCCAAGCGCACAUCGACCUCCCGAGUUCGGUCGGCAUCGCAAGAGGCCGCAUCAACCCCAUCACCCACCGGACUCAGGUCAACCCCCUGGAACACGAGGCAGGCCUUCAGGGCUGCAACAGCCGGCUCCUGCUCCAGAGGAAAAUGAUGAAGCGGAGGAAGCGCGUAAUCAAAAGGUGCAGCCUGUUUGGACAAGCAGCGAUUUCGAGCCCCCUGACACAACAUUGGAUGACAACCACAUGACUUUAGAGGAGGUGGCUGAGCCAUGGGAAUACUUUCGAAGGUCUGACUAAAUAUCACAGUAUGGGAACAGACCAAUCACGAAUCAAGGCGUUGUAUGCCAGUCAUGAG